CAGGCGUGGGAGACUCCCAGACUCCGGCCCGCCGGGACGGCCAGCUGCGUCACCUUGGACGUGGGCAAUACUUCGGAGCCUCGGUUAUGUCGCCUGUAACCUGAGGACAACGGCCUGGAAGGGGCUCAGGUGACACGGCGGCCCUCACUGGGGCCGAUUUAGCCGGUCUGCCGCCCCUCCGCGCCGGACCGCCAGGCGGGGUACCAGGGAAACUGCGAUGCGCCGGCUUGCGAGCCCACCGUGACGCAGAGCUGGCGGCCGCUAGCGACAGCCACCCUGUGAGGGACUUUCCCCCCAAUACCCUAACCGCUUUCCUGUCCCUAAGGGCCCGCUCCCGCCCCGGCUCCGUUUCUGUCUCUCUGAGGAAGCCCGGCGCAGCCUAACCCUCACAGGGCCGCGGAGAGGGCGCGCCAGGCGGG
rnacentral:lncRNA from 1 species